rnacentral:tRNA from 1 species
GCCCUGGUGGCGGAAUGGUUAAGGGCUCAGUUGCUAACAGAGAGGUCGGUGGUUCGAACCCACCCAGCGGCU